GCCAUAGCUUUUGACGCGGUUGCGAAAAUAGUUGCGAACAAAAACAUUUUUUUAUUUAAUUUUUCAGCCAUUUCUUGCGGCACCAGAAAAAUUGAGAAUAGAUACGUGCAGAGCUUCGUAGAAAAAUUAAAAUAAAACAAGGGAAACGAUCGGAAAAUGGACAGACCGAGCUCCUCAACAAACCCAUAGGUAAAUCAUUUUGCAUAAUUCGAUGCAAUGGAACAAAGAACCCAUGCCCACAUUUCCCAGUGACAGAUUCAACAAAAACCAAUAAAAAGAAGUUUAUACCGAAAUCAUAUCGUCGAUCGAAUCUUUCGCCGGAUGCAGACGAGUUGCAAAUACAUGCUGGGCACGAGAGAUUAGAUUUUGAUAGAGAUAGCGAGAGCGUGAAACUACUCAAUCGUUCGGCGAAUAUACGUUCAUAAAGAUGUACUAUCAAGAAACCGAAGCCAGUGCACCUAAGAGACCAAAAUUAUCCCAAGAAAAUGAUCAAAAUAAUCAACAAUUACCCGUUGCUGGUCCAUCGAAUGA